GGUGUGCGCGGGACCAUGCAGAGACGCCGGCUGGCGGGUCCGGUAGUGCUCGCCCUGCUCGUGCUCCUGCUCCUCGCGAUGACGUCACGGACCGCACAGGCCCGCACCGGAGCGCCACCAAAGCCCCCAAGGCCCUCCAGGGCUCGUCAGAGUCACCAGAUGGCGCAACUGCAGCAGCGCCAGGACGGUCAUCAGGGUCAGGACGUCAAGCCGCCGCUACUGCUGCGACCACUGCCCUCGGACGACCUUCCGGUCAUCGAUCUGGUCGAGCCCGUCGGGCACCUGUACGACCCGGGACCCGAAGACCUGGACCCGGUCAACCUUCAGAGGAUCCUGGCGGGGCACUUUGACCCAAAGUUCAUGGCCGUACAGAGGCCGAAGGAAAGCUACCUCCAUCCCAACGGAAGCCUCAAGCCGGGCUUCCGGCUCAGGAAGGGCCGCCUGGUGCCCGCCAGGCCGAUGCCCCGAGAGCUGCAGAAGAUCCGGCUCAAGAACAUCGAGCUCCCCGGCGGGCUCCGGGUCCGACUGGACAUGGGCCGGAGGUUGAGGCGCAAGAUGCGCCAGCUUCUCUGGACUUACACCUACUGUCCGCUGGUGUACCGGUGGAAGGACCUGGGCCUGCGCUUCUGGCCCCGAUGGAUACGCGAGGGCCGCUGCUACAAGAGCCGGCGGUCGUGCUCGUUCCCGCCGGGAAUGUCAUGCCGAGAGAAGAGCUCCACGGAGAAGACGGUGCUCCGCUGGCACUGCCGGGACUGGACGCAGAGGCGCCAGUGCCGGUGGAUACUGGCCACCAUAUCCAUACUCGUCGAGUGCUCCUGCUCGUGCUGAGUGCCGUAGCGCUGGCGUGCCACCUCCUCGCGUCACGUGAACGUUUGAGACGGUGCGAAAGUUCUGUGCUAAAUACCAUUGCUGGAAACCGUGCUACGAGCUCUUUUUUUGUCUAGCACGGUUCUGACGUAAAUCUUGUCAGGAAGCGAGCCGCAGAGUGAUUCAGUGUGUGUGUCAGACUUCGAAAGUGCUCGUGAAUAUCUGCAGACGACGUGACUCAGGUGUCCAGAACA
rnacentral:misc_RNA from 1 species